rnacentral:rRNA from 1 species
GAUGAACGCAAGCGACAGGCUUAACACAUGCAAGUCGAGGGGCAGCACGGGAGUAGCAAUACAACUGGUGGCGACCGGCGCACGGGUGAGUAACGCGUAUGCAACCUACCUAUCAGAGGGGAAUAACCCGGCGAAAGUCGGACUAAUACCGCAUAAAACAGGGGCACCGCAUGGUGAUAUUUGUUAAAGAAAUUCGCUGAUAGAUGGGCAUGCGUUCCAUUAGGUAGUUGGUGAGGUAACGGCUCACCAAGCCGACGAUGGAUAGGGGAACUGAGAGGUUGGUCCCCCACACUGGUACUGAGACACGGACCAGACUCCUACGGGAGGCAGCAGUGAGGAAUAUUGGUCAAUGGGCGGGAGCCUGAACCAGCCAAGUCGCGUGAAGGAAGAAGGAUCUAUGGUUCGUAAACUUCUUUUGCAGGGGAAUAAAGUGCAGGACGUGUCCUGUUUUGUAUGUACCCUGAGAAUAAGGAUCGGCUAACUCCGUGCCAGCAGCCGCCGUAA